UAGCUUGCUAUGAACUGUUUUAGCGGCGGACGGGUGAGUAACGCGUGAGGAACCUGCCUUGAAGAGGGGGACAACAGUUGGAAACGACUGCUAAUACCGCAUGACGCAUAGAGGUCGCAUGAUCUUUAUGCCAAAGAUUUAUCGCUUCAAGAUGGCCUCGCGUCUGAUUAGCUGGUUGGCGGGGUAACGGCCCACCAAGGCGACGAUCAGUAGCCGGUCUGAGAGGAUGAACGGCCACAUUGGGACUGAGACACGGCCCAAACUCC
rnacentral:rRNA from 1 species